rnacentral:tRNA from 1 species
GGCGCCGUGGCUGAGUGGUAAAGCGCUUGGCUUCUGAACCAGGGGUCUCAGGUUCAAAUUCUGGUGAAGACU